GGACACAGGCUGGAAGAGGCCUGCAUCGCAUCGCAUCGCUGACAUAGAGGAUAAAACACAACAUCAGCUCCGCCGAGCCCCCAGCCAAAGUGUUGAAGUGGCGUCCGAGAUCGCCAAGGGCCAAGCCAUGUAACUGUAAGUUCUCAUGUGAAAUAUGUUUGUUAUACACAUAUAGCAUACACUGUGCCGCACAAUAUACAGUUUCUUCUACAAUGUGCCC